UCACUCUCACUCGGCCGAGCCCGAAAGCCUCGCCUUUCUCCGUUGAAAAAUUACCGGGCUCGCGUUCCCGCGGCGGCGGCCACACAAACUCCAGCGGCCACCUCCUACUUCCGGGAGCGUGUGGCGUCCAAACGCCGCGCAGGCGCAGUGAGCCGGCGUGCACGGAACGCCAGCGCCGCAGUCCACGGGGGAGGGAGGAAGAACAAGAGGGAGGCGCGCCGGUGAGAGGACGGGGCGUGGCCGGCCGUGGGCGGAACUAGCGCGGGUUGAAGUUGCGCAAGGAUCUAGUCCGGACACCAGAGGGUAGCACCGGAACGGAUGAUCGCGUCAGCUUUUACUGAGAAGAAAAAAGCAGGGCCCUGCACUUGAUGGAUCAGCUGGCACCACCCAGAUUGAUAGAGUGGCUCAUCUGAUUUUGUGUCCCCCACCCAGGAACUGACUCAGUGCAAGAGGACAUCAUCGACUCCCUGUGAUUUCAUCUCCUACCCAACCAAUCAGCACUCCUGACUCACUGGCUUCUCACCCACCAAAUUAUCCUUAAAAACUCUGAUCCCCAAAUGUUCAAGGAGACUGAUUUACAUAAUAAAACUCGGGUCUCCUGUGCUGCCA